rnacentral:lncRNA from 1 species
CACACCCUGUAUGGUAGGGGGUAGGGUUAACACUAGGUACACACCCUGUAUGGUAGGGGUUAGGGUUAGAGUUAACACUAGGUACACACCCUGUAUGGUAGGGGUUAGAGUUAACACUAGGUACACAUCCUGUAUGGUAGGGGUUAUAGUUAACACUAGGUACACACCCUGUAUGGUAGGGGUUAGAGUUAGAGUUAACACUAGGUACACAUCCUGUAUGGUAGGGGUUAGGGUUAACACUAGGUACACACCCUGUAUGGUAGGGGUUAGAGUUAACACUAGGUACACACCCUGUAUGGUAGGGGUUAGAGUUAACACUAG